GAUGAAGAACGUAGCGAAAUGCGAUAAUUAAUGUGAAUUGCAGAAUUUAGUGAAUCAUCGAAUCUUUGAACGCACAUUGCGCCCCUUGGUAUUCCGAGGGGCAUGCCUGUUCGAGCGUCAUUAUCACCCCUCAAGCUUUGCUUGGUGUUGGGGCCUGCUGUAAUAGGCAGCCCUUAAAAUCAGUGGCGGUGCUUCAAGGCUCUAAGCGUAGUAAUUCUCCUCGCUAUAGUGUCUAGUGGUUGCCAGCCAGAACCCCCCAUUUUUUAUGAUUGACCUCGGAUCAGGUAGGGAUACCCGCUGAACUUAAGCAUAUCAAUAAGCGGAGGA
rnacentral:misc_RNA from 1 species